ensembl:lncRNA
UCCAAUUUUACUACAUAGUAUCGAGUGGGAAGAUGACACCUGGUGUCCUGAUAUGGAGACAAAGUCUGUGUCAUCAUUUGAAGAAGACGAAACAAAGGAAAUAGAUACAGACUAUGAUGACAGUGAUGAUGAGGACUAUAUGCCACAUAUUUGUGUGCGGACUGGCGGUGCUCUGAAGACUCCGAUUUGUCUGAAUUCCCUUCAAACAAUUAGUAUGGAGGACACUGUGCACGAUGCUGAAGACAACUCCCAAGACCCUACUAUUGCAGACAUACAUCCAAUCCCAGAGACUGCUAAAAUCAUGGUUGAGGAUGACAUAAUUGGCCAGCCAGCAUCUAUAACAUACCACAGUUGUCUGAAGCUGCUUGCUGAAUAUCUUGUUCUACCUGUGAACAUGUGUACUGCUAAGGACACAAACACAAAUGCAGAGUGUGGGGCACAUAAACCAUUUGAGGUCAACAUCCAUUCCGGGGGUACAGCUGCAAUUGUGGAAUGGAUAUGUUGUAAUGGUCACACUGUUUGGAAAUGGUCUGGAUGUCUGGCAUGGGUCCAAAAACUUGAGCAAAAAAAUUCACGCAGCAGGGCAGCAAAAGGGGUGUGCCAUUCUCCAGAUGUGGAAUAAAGACAUCUGCAACCACUUCUGGUACUGCUGUAAGACGGCAGAUACCUAUGAAGAGUUUAUUGUGAGUAUUUUCUUCUUUGAUAUAUUUUUUCAUUUUCAAUAUUUAGAAAGAGAAGAAAUUGAAGCAUCUCUUUUCAUAAACUAAACUAACUUAUAUAAUCACCCGUUUUGGUUUAUAGGUUUAAAAAUGAAAUAACUGAUAUAGUGGGUAUUUAUUGUACAAAUGUUGUGA